rnacentral:lncRNA from 1 species
CUGUCACUACACAAGGGUUGAAUGUGACUCCUGUGUGGAAAAUCUUUUUGAACAAUGUCUCAGUAAACACCAGGGAAUGAAUAUUCUUGGAGGCUAAAGACCCAGGACAUUGUGAAGUUUUGGUUUUAGGUGAGAAUUACCUGUAACAGCUUUUGUGUUGUCAUUUUCUCUUUCUCCUAAAAUUGGGAGCAGCUGAAUGCUAGCCAGUGAGGGAUAUUUGUUAGCUGGGUUCUGAUUAUGUGAGGUUUUAUCUAGCAACCUCCAAUUAAUAGAACUAAAACUUGUUUUCUCUUAAUUCACUUGGAAAUUACAAACAUAAUACAUAUUCAUGGUGAAAAAUUCAAAAUAUAGUAUCAGGUUUUUAGGAGAUGUUGCCUUUUAUAAAGCUGGAGUGGUAGAAACCUAGCUGUGGCCAGGGCCACUGAAACUACU